UAAAGCCUAUUUUUACACAACAGCGAGAGCAAGAAUCCUACCCACACACUCAAUAUGAGGAAGGGCAAUCUCAGGCAAAACACUCUCAAGAAGAGCAACCUCAAAUGGGGCAGUCUCACGGAGAGCAAUCUCAAAUGGGGUAGUCUCACGGAGAGCAACCUCAAAUGGGGCAGUCUCAAGGAAAGCACAUUCAGGGAGAGCAACCUCAAAUGGGGCAGUCUCAGGGAAAACACUAUCAAGGAGACCAACCUGAAGAAGGGCAGGGAGGGCAAUCUCAAGAAGAGCAAUCUCAGGCAGGGCCAUAUCCGGGAUGUCAACCUCAUGCAGGGCAAUCUUAUGCAUCACAAUCAACUUAUGGUGGUUGGAAUGGUUUGGAGGAGAACUUUUGUGAUCAUAAGCUAAGUGUGAACAUCGACGAUCCCAGUCAUGCUGACAUAUACAAC
rnacentral:lncRNA from 1 species